rnacentral:rRNA from 1 species
GUAUAGGAGCUGACGCCUGCCCGGUACUGGAAGGUUAAGGGGAUCUGUUAGAGCAAUCGACGCAGUGAACUUAAGCCCCAGUAAACGGCGGCCGUAAAUAGAACGGUUCUAAGGUAGCACAAUUCAUCGUCGGGAAAGUUCCGACACGCUCGAAAGGCGUAACGACUUGGGCACUGUCUCAACACACGACACGGUGAAAUUGUAAUUCCGGUGAAGAUGCCGGAUACCUGCGACAGGACGGAAAGACCCCAUGGAGCUUUACUGUA